AUAAAUCGAUCAAAUAAAAUAAAUCAAGUAAAUUUUUCAAUACUAUAAAAUAUCAAAUCUUCCUUGUCAAAAUAACAAAUAAACAAAAAUCAAUGUACUUACGACAGCAAUAGAAUUAUCUUCAUUCCAAUAGGACGAGCGAUGCUUGUCUCUUCCCUGGAGGUUAGUUAUGAGGGUCGGACGAUGUCUGUUCUUCACCUCGCACCAAUAGGACAGUUUCUUCCCUGGUCGUGAGCCCUUUGCCAAUGCACUACCGAAUCUCGAAUUUUGUUUUUGGGUAUACACCAUUAAUCGUUGAAACGAAAGCGAAUUGUAAAUUUUCGCGAUGAAACUUUUUAAUCAACCCGCUUGGUGUAUCCUACCGACUGCGCCAGUUUUCUUCUCAAAAAAGGAAACGAUUUUUAAAAAACUUUUAUUCAGAUUGACAGCAAGUACUACCAACAAAUGAGCUGCAUAUAAUUGGUUUCACCCAUAUUUAUAAGAUAUUAAUAUACUGACUAUGCAAUUACGGGAAUUAACAGUAAGCAAUAUUAUACAAGGAAUAUACGUUAUACAGGGUAUAUAACUCAAUGAUAUUUAGCAAGCUAAAUAAAUUCUUCAGAUACUUGUGUUUGCAUUUUAUUUGGUAUUUUGUUUUUAUUUAUGAUAUGCUGAUAAGGUGUUAUAACAAUAAUAUUAACAAUACUAAUAAAUUUUUAAUCAUAUUUUAAUGAUCCAAUAAAAAAAAUUGUAAGAAAGGGUUUCAGGCAUAAAGGUUUAUUUAAAGCAUUUUUUCCAGAAUUUUAUUUGGCUUUCAUAUCCAGAAGAAAUCCAUCAGUUACUCAGAAGUCACCAUUUAAAUUUAAAGUGAAAACGCUUUCAACAUAAGGUAUAACACGAUCCCUCUUUCUGUUUAAGAUUUAAGGGGUGCUUUCAACCCCUCGUAAAGGAUUCCAGGUAUUAGGUGGCCUGUUAAUUAAUAAGUGACCCCUUCGAAAAUAGGAUUUCCUUGUUCUUUUAAAAAUAUUAUCCAAAAAAGAGUCCAUAAUACCUUUUUCAUUUUCGCUGUUUCCGCAAUUUUGACAAGCUGUUUUAUCCAGAGAAAUAAUUUUAGCCACUUAAAAUUUGGCAGUUAUAUUCAGAAUUAAAAGACCUUUAAAAUAAGGUAUCAUACGACCCCUCUUUCCAUUUAGGAUUUUAGGGGUGAUUCCACCCCCUCGAAGGGGGUUGCUGGUAUGAGGGUGCCUUGGUAAGGAAAAGUUGUCCCCCUCAAAAAUAAAAUCGACGUGUCCGAGAUUUUUGAAAAAAAUUUUUUUUUUCAAAAAUCAAAUAUAAAAGGAAAACCACAAUACCUAGAAAAAUGGGUCCCCAAUCUACAGAAGAAGAAUUAUUUCACCUAGCUGAAAGACGAUUUCCAGCGACAAAAGAUCAACUUUUAGAUAGUUUUAAUAAAAAAGUUCAAAAGACCAAAUUCAUUUAGCAAUUGUAGGCCAGGAAGACAUUGGUAUGAAGCCUUUCUGAAGCGACAUCCUUGUAUAUCGCAAAGAACUUCGCAAAUAUGUAAAUAAUAAACGCUCAUCGCCUUCAGAACUAACAGACGAAACUAAUGUAUAUAUAAAUAUUCAAAAGAUGUAAAUAUUUUAAGUGAGUCUGGGAAAGUUACAUCGCAAGGUACUAUGAGCAUACAAAACCAAGAAGAGCAAGAAGAAAACGCAAGAGAUGUAAUUCUAAAUGAAUGAGUCAACCUCCUAACUCAAGAUGCAAAUCAUGAGACGAAUCAGGAAAAUUCAGAAAGCGAUACCUCUUCAUUAGAUUCAAAUGAAUCUAAUGAACAUAUGAUUCAGAAUUCUUUGUCUUUUACAACAUUUAUAAAAGAAAUUUUUUUCGGAAAUUUCGGAAGAUGCUGAUGAAGUUUGAAUACGCCUUUGCGAAAUGGAAUCCUAGAAAUCGAUAAAUCAAAAUUCGAUCUAAAAAUUCGACCAGUUGAGGAGAAUGAAGGAUCAUUAGUAAAUAUGAAACAAAUGGGCCAGAAGGAACAGUCAUCAAUGCCAGAACUUCGAACACCAACAGAAAAAAAUAUUGAAGAAAAUUCUGCUUCAAGUUGUGCGUCAACAAAAACUGGGGAAAUAAAUGCGGACGACCUUCAAUUCCAAGUCCAUUUAAAUCUGCACUUUUUUGGCCUCGACCUUCCAAACCCACAAUAGUUGUAAAAAUGUAAAAAUUCCGACAGUGGCUGGAAUUCCAACAAGAAAGAAGCAAUUAAAGCAAAAGAACUUGAAGAAAAGGAAGAGAGAAAUCGAAUAGAAAAUCCCAAAAUAAAUAAAAAUAAAGAAAAAGAAAAAGCUGCAAAAAGGCAAAAUAGGGCUCAGCUUGCAGAAAAGGAAAAUAAACUUCAGGAGAAAGAAAACUGGUUUUGUAAAAUUUGCGAAGAAGGUUCUCGGCAAAGUAUGUUACAAUGCAUGACCACGAGAAUGUGCAGGGGCAUCAAAAAAACAAACAAAAUUUUACUGUACAACGUGUUUAACCUAAAAAAUAAAUGUGUAUUUGAAGUAAAGCAAAUCGAUUUUUCUUUAAUAUAGGUACAGUGCCGAAAACUCAUUCAAUAUAAUGACGAAUACUGGGACUUGGUCUAGUUAGUGGGUGACGAUUACUGAAAUGUAAUUUUUAUUUUUAUUAAUAAUUAUUUGAAAUGUAACUUACAGAAUUUGAAAAAAAUUUAAUACAUAUAAUCAAUCACUGGUGAGAUGGCGCUGAUAGCAAAACCUGAUGCAAAGAUACCUGCAAAGCACUGGCCGUGAAUUUUUUACUAAAUUUAUCAGUUUGUAGUAAUAAAUAUAAGGGUUCUACCUGUUCUGAUAAACUAAAGUGUUUAAUUACAGAAAUAUUAAACGAGAAGCUUAGCGAUAAUUUUCAAAACACUAUCUCUCGAAUGGUCGUUGCAACUGUUCGAGAUAUGUUUAAUGAUAAAUUUAAAGAAAUGAUGGAAAAUAUUUCUGCCCUUAAUGAUGAAGUCUAAAAAAUAAAAGAAGAAAACAAUCAGGAACAGUUUUCUUGCAAUAAAUACGUCCGAAUAUUUCGACUUUACUAAUACUUUACCGGAAAAAUGAAUUUUUGCUCCGUCCGACAUUGCGUCUGACAUCACAUUGCUCCAUCCAACAUGAAAAAUACCCACCGAGUUUUUGCCAAAAAUCGAUCGCGAGAGGAUCAGCCGCCAGCAGUACUAGUCUCAUCCCGCGAUAUUAACAAACCGCUGCAAAUCUUAAAACAGCGAAAAUGUUUAAAAAACCCGGGGGUUCUAGUGAAAGAAGAAUUAACUAAGGCAAGACAAGACUAUCACUUUUAAGUGCGGCAAUUUCUAAGUUUGGGGAUAAAAGUGCAUAGUGUCAUUUUGUGGUCAAUUUUUUCUCAUUUUGUAAUGUUAGCAAAUAAAGUUUUUCUUCUUUUUUCUGUUACUACAAACUACUAUUAUUUUUUAUUUACUACUAUUUUUUUUUAUUUAUUACUAUUUUUGUAUUUACCUAAAUAAACAUAAAUUUAAUGUUUUAUAUAAAUGCUUUAAUUAAAAUAACUACAAUUGUGAAAAAUAUAA